rnacentral:misc_RNA from 1 species
GAAAUGCGAUAAGUAAUGUGAAUUGCAGAAUUUAGUGAAUCAUCGAAUCUUUGAACGCACAUUGCGCCCCUUGGUAUUCCGAGGGGCAUGCCUGUUCGAGCGUCAUUAUAACCCAUCACAUCUAAUGUGGUCUUGGGGCUCGCUGUCUAGCGGCCCUUAAAAUCAGUGGCAGUGUCUGUUAGGCUCUAAGCGUAGUAACUUUUCUCGCUUUUGGGCCUCUUAGGCGGUCGCCAGAACCCCAAUUUUUUCAGGUUGACCUCGGAUCAGGUAGGGAUACCCGCUGAACUUAA